rnacentral:lncRNA from 12 species
AUGAGGAAAGGUCAUAGAAAGAUCCUGUGUUUCUUUUACCCUGCAGCAUGCUCAAUGAGUUUGAGGCCUCAUUUGUCUACCUUCUCACAUGGCCAGGAGACUACUUGUGUCAAUCCCUCUGCUUCCCACCAUACUUCAUGCUACUCUACUCUGAUCCCAAAGAAAAGAGAUGAGAGGGGAUCAGGACUAAGAAAAAGGACACCGCCUCCCAGUGCCACACUGCACAAUGUUGGAUAAGUGAUGAUGGACUAGGUUACACUGGAAUACUGGAAGACAAGGCCCACAGCCAAGUCAUCAAGAGACAAGCCCAUGGGAAACAAAUUAGUUCAUGUACCUCAAGUGCUCCUGAAGCUUUUCCACAGUACCACUUGGCCAGUGCUUGGACAAGGUGAUUUACCAUAUCUCUGAGUGUCCUACUCCCAAGGGCACAUUCAUCUUGCCUUCCCAGAAGCAGCUUAAGGUCUGGAGUUUCAUGUUUAUGAUCAUCAAGUAUAUUUUGGCUAGCAGAAUGAGAGACACAGUUGUGUUUUCAGUAAACUCAUCCAUUACCUUG